CGGACGGGUGAGUAACGCGUAGGCAACCUGCCCUUUGCAGAGGGAUAGCCAUUGGAAACGAUGAUUAAAACCUCAUAAUACUAAAUAGUCACAUGGCUGUUUGGUCAAAGAUUUAUCGGCAAAGGAUGGGCCUGCGUCUGAUUAGCUAGUUGGUGGGGUAACGGCCUACCAAGGCGACGAUCAGUAGCCGACCUGAGAGGGUGAUCGGCCACAUUGGAACUGAGACACGGUCCAAACUCCUACGGGAGGCAGCAG
rnacentral:rRNA from 1 species